AUUGAACGCUGGCGGCAGGCUUAACACAUGCCAGUCGAGCGAGCGGCGGACGGGUGAGUAAUGUCUGGGAAACUGCCUGAUGGAGGGGGAUAACUACUGGAAACGGUAGCUAAUACUGCAUACCAUCAGAUGUGCCCACAUGGGCUUAGCUAGUAGGUGGGGUAAUGGCCUACCUAGGCGACGCUCCAUAGCUGGUCUGAGAGGAUGACCAGGCAUACUGGAACUGAAACACGGGCCAGACUCCUACGGGAGUCAGCAGUGGGGAAUAUUGCACAAUGGGCGCAAGCCUGAUGCAGCCAUGCCGCGUGUGUGAAGAAGGCCUUCGGGUUGUAAAGCACUGUCAGCGAGGAGGCGUUACUCGCAGAAGAAGCACCGGCUAACUCCGUGCCAGCAGCCGCGGUAAUUC
rnacentral:rRNA from 1 species